CUACUUCGGGCGACUUGUUUUCUGUGCUCUGUUUCCAGACAGUCACACAACUAGUCAAUGGCUAUUCCUACAAAGAAGCUUCCAAAGCAGAUGGCGAGAAGAAGGAGCUGACGCCGAUGCGUUUUGACAAAGAAUGAAGAAAACGCAUCGCAGAUGCUGGUGGUCAGCGUCUCAACGUGGUCUUGCCUGGGUGUCUAGACCUACAAAGAUCAUCAUGACAUAGAAGCCAACGGCCCAAAUGUGAGGGAAGGGCAUCAGACUCACAGCGCGAGGAUACAGGCGUAAACCAAUAUCCAGGAAAGCAGAAGACAUAGGGCCAAGUCCCAGCGAAUGUUUCCCAUUUCCUCAAGUCCGCUUGAUAGCCCCAAAAUUCUUCUCCUGGACAGAAAUCCGAGGAAAAACACUCAUAUACACACACACACACACACGCAUACACACACAUGGUACUUACUCCCAAUACUCUACAGCUGAAGAUGUGUUGUUUGUGGACUCUGACAGAGUUUGAUUGUGUCCCAGACAUGAAUCUUUCAUGCGAGCACCUGUGUUCCAGCUGUUGAGACAGUUAGCCCACGGAAGUUCCGAGUGGAAGGAUGAGAAGAGGAAGAGGAAUUCCCAGCUCAGGAUAAUAAUCCAGGUCAAAAAGACGGAUGUCAUGUCAUUCACCUUCAAAAAGAGGGCAGAUUUUCCUCCAACACGUUAUUGCACCUUGACCGGUGUACUGGCCCAGGGAUGUCUCCAGGAUGAAGAGAGGGAUGCCACAGGUGAACAGGAACAAAAAGUAUGGUAUGAGGAAGACGCCUUUGAAGCCAAAAUUCAAUCUGUUAGUUCAAUAGUCCUGAAACUUUUCUCAAUUCAUAUUUUGCUCUUCCAAGAACCAUUUUUUCCCCACCUAUGUUCACCGGUUAGUCUUGCUAUGUAUUUACUCUGAAAUGUAGCAAUGAAACACACAUGCAGAAAUGAUUUUGUAUUCAAAUUUAAGAGAAAUUAUAUUUACCUCCUCCAUUUUUGGAACAAAGGUAUGGAAAUCUCCAGAUAUUCCCAUAGCCAACAAUACUACCAGCUACAGCCAAGAAGUACUCAAUUUUUCUGGACCACCGCUCUCUCUCCCGGCCUUUGGGUGCCGGUUCUGCUUUACUUUCAAGGUUUUCCGAGUUCAUUGGGAAGUGAUCCAUGUUGACCUUUAGUUAGGGCGGGUGUCAUAAAACUGUAACAAUAUCAAGACUAUGUUUGCUCAUUUAAACUUGAGUUGAA